GUGCAAUACCACAAUAUUUUUUUAUUUAAAUUCCUAUUUAAAAAAGUAAGUGCUUACACUAUAUUAUAUCAAAAUAAAAAAAUGUGUCAUGUGAUAACGUUGCAAUUACUAAAAUUUGACUACAAUGACAGAUGACAGUUGGCGCUGAUUUUAGGUCAUAUUGUUUUAAAAAUGAAAAUCCUAAAUCUAAUUUAAAAAAUGAGUUUUCUGGGCCUAGAGGUGGAAUUUUCAAUGCAAGAAGUGUGUACAUAUAGUAAACUAAUGGAACUUCUAAGAAAAAAGCAUUUGAAGACAUCAGGUACUUCCUGGAUCCUAACUUAGAUAGGAACAGAAGAGGCAUUUGGAAUUUCUGCUAGUGAUUUAAAAUUCUUCAAAGAAUGGCGGUCAAAUAAGCAGCAACACUUCGAUUGUAUUACAAACUCCUAUUUAUUUUUUUAACAGAUUUUCAUUUUUUGACGAACGGCGGUCGAAUAAGCAGCAACGAAUUAGUUCUACUACGAACUUUUUUGAAUUUUUUAAUUUUUGGUGUAGGGCGGUCAAAUAAUCAGCAAAAAAUUGAUUCUAAUGUGCACCCUUAUGAAUUUUUUAUUGGUUUUUGCAAAUUUUACUGACACCCAGUAUAAAGUGCAUAAUGCUUAUAACUCACAAACCAGCUGA